rnacentral:ncRNA from 1 species
CUUCGAUGUCGGCUCUUCCUAUCAUUGCGAAGCAGAAGCAGAAUUCGCCAAGCGUUGGAUUGUUCACCCACCAACAGGGAACGUGAGCUGGGUUUAGACCGUCUUGAGACAGGUU